GUUUGCCAUUUGACCAAAGCAUUUUGGAGGCUCAGUCCAGGGCACUAUGGUGAUUCAUUCUGUUUCACUGUGACAGAAGUUCUACAAAUAUGUUUGUUCUUUAAUCCACAUUGAGACUUUUGUGAAAGUGAGCACACACAAACAUACUACAGCUUGGAAAAAGCCUGUUUCAUCUUACAGACAGCAGUCCCGAUCAAUUUUUCCUAAACACCAUUCAUAUUUCCUAGGAUCCUACAAGAAGUAAAUGGAUCACCAGACACAAACGAAUUGUUAUGUCCCUUCUUAGAAAAUCUAAAUAUCUAAAUGUCUUGAUAUCAAACUCUUUGUGCCUUCUAAGUGUUCAGUAAGGAAUUUCAUUUAUAUCUCUAAUUUUUUUUUUUGUUACUGAGAAAGAAACUCUUUAAAAGAAACUUCUCCCUUUCCUGAAAACCUCCUUCUGUUUGAAAGUGUGCAUUUUAGUUCAGGGCAGUGGUUAUCAAACCUUUGUGUGCAUUAGAAUCACCAGGAGGGCCUGCUAAAACACAUCUUGCUAGGUUCCACCACUAGAACUUCUGAUUCAGUAGGUGUGAUGUAAGAUCCAAGAAUAUACAUUCCUAACAAUUUUCCAGGUGAGGAUGAUGUUGCUGGUCCAGGGCCCACAGUAUGAGAACUACUAAUUUAAGAAAAUAUACUCCUCUUUUGUUCACUUCUCUAAGAUGUUUUAACUAGUUGUGAGAAUGCUAUAUUAAUAAGGAAAAAUGUGAGACUCCCAAAACUUGAAACAUCCAACAGAUAUCAAGGAGCAUUGAUUUCCCUAUAUCCCACCUAGGGAGAGGGAUCUUUCCAGUAGCAGCUUACAGAUCACUUUGCCAGGGCAGUUUUCUUGGGCCCUUUUAUCAGGACAGUCUCCCUUGCAAAGACAUAGCACCUGAUAAUUGAUCUUCAUGAUGAUCAUCACAAUUGUAAUUAUACAAUUAUUUGUGAAAAUAUUUAAUGACUGUAUUUCCUAAGGAAGCUUAAUCUUUUUAGGUGCCAUUAUUGCCUUAGCUACUGUUAUAUUUGUUCAGCAUCUAGUUUGGAGUUUGGCACAUAGUCAAUGUAAUAUCUGCCAAAAUAAAUGUUUGGAAAAACAUUAGGAUUCUUCCAUUUACAUAGAAAUGGUGGGUUCUGAGGGCCUUAAAUCAGAGAUAGUAUUCUCCUGCAUCCAUUGCCACAGUUUUUUUGAUUAUGACAUUCUUGCAUGCUGAACUCAGACUGGGCCCAGGAAUGAUCUUCAAUACAGGCAGCUUCUACCAGUUGUCAGAUAUGGCCUAUGAGAUAAAAUCUAAUUGCCAUUCUUACAAUAAAUUCUAUUCAGGAUGGCCUUCGCUUUGUUCACUCAAUAUUCCCUGAGAUUUUGCCCCUAUCUUUGUUCGUGCUGUUUCAUUUAUCUGAAAUAGCUACUUUCCUCCAAACACACUCCAUUUGUUGAAAACCUAUUAAUUCCUUAAGUCCUAUCUUGAGCACCAUCUUUUCUGCAAAGCCUUUUGAAAUCCCCUUAAUUAGAUGAAAUCUCUGAUGACUCUAACCUUGCUCUACCUUACAACAUAGAAAUUUGUAUGCUUGCCUUUACCUUCUUACUAAAAUGGUCCUUCUUAAAGACUGGAAAAACAUAUUCAAUCCCUUACCAUAACUUCAGUUAUUAAACACAUAUAUAUUUGUCUCCUAUCAUGUGCCAGGCUCUGUGCUAAGUACUGAGGGUAUAAAGCUAUAGGAGACAUAGCCUCUGUCUUAAGUAGGUCAUCGUUAUCCAGGGCAUUAAACAAACACUUAAAGACAUGGUUGUAGAAUAACACAGCAGAUGUUAUACUGGAGGCAUUUACAAGUCACAGUGAUGGGUUGAAGAAAUAAAUGAUCAUCUCUGUUUGGGCCGGGUGUGGUGAGUAAAGAUAUUAGAAUGAUUAGAAACAAUUAAGUAAAAUGCUUAAGAGAUGGGUAGGAGAUUUUACAGACAUGGUAGGUGUUUAGUUCCUUCCAUUUAACCAACUUAUUUGAAUUGAUCUUAAUGCAGCCUGUAAAAUUGAAGCUGGUAAAACAAACUCUAAUUUAUUUUCUUACUUCUCUUUAGUUUUCUGAAUGCUGCAUAAAGUUUUCACAGAUCCUCUAUCCAGAUUCUCCUACUGUUGACUGUGUUUCCACAUUACAGUUUACCCAAUUCAUUCACGUAGGCCUUGCCACUGAUCUAUAGACUCACCCUGGUUGCCCUGUGCUCUGUAGUAGUUGCAUUAUUUCCAAUAGGAAGUGCCAUAGUAAGCCACAUUAAACAGGUAUUUGGACUGUGCUGAAGUAGAUCCUCCUCUACCAACUUACAUAGUUGCAUGAGUUGAGGAAAUGUGCCAGGAACCCAAAUCCAGUUUGCUGCUAUAGGAUGUAAGGGCUGCUGAAAACAAUGUUCUCAGCCAGGACAGAGGCAGUACAGUUAUCAGAAUCACUAGGAGAUACAUCGUCAAGUGGCACAAGGUCAACCCAACUUCCCUGUUUUAAAAAAAUACCACCCAAUCACCACUGAAACCUACUCCUCCUAAAAUAUUACAUGUUUCAGAAAGUCAAUGAAUGCAGCUUGAUAAACUUAAAAUUGCUAAGUGAACUUCAAAAUAAUGCUCAGGAAAAGGAAGAUGCCAUCAAUUGAAUAAUUUGGGAAAGUUUCUGAGCAAUUAAAGAUUGUUUUUCAUCAACUAGAAAAUAUUUGGUAUGUUAAUCACACUAAAAAAGAUGAUAAUUUCCACGUAAACAUGAAGGUGUUGCAAGCUCUCCUAGCAAAGUGUCUCAAACUUUAGGGUACUCCAGAAUUACCCAGGGAUCUUGCUACAAACAUUAGGUCACUGAGCUCCACUCCUAGAGAUGUGUUUUGGAAAGUCUGGGUAUGACUCCAGGACUUUGCAGUUUGAACAGGCAUCAUGGGGGGUAACGUUGCAGGCAGCCCACAGACCGUACUUUAUCCCAGGUAAAUUAUCCUUGAUCUUAUGGGGAUAAAACAAAGCCAACUGUAUAGCUGACCCUUGAACAACACAAAUUUGAACUUGGUGGGUCCACCUGCACACAGGUUUUCUUCACCCGCUGCCACUCCUGAGACAGCAAGGCCAACCCCUCAAGACCAACCCCUCCUCUUCCUCCUCCUUUUCAGCCUACUCAACGUUGAAGAUGAGGUUGAAGACCUUUAUGAUAAUCCACUUCCACUUAGUGAAUAGUAAAUGUAUUUUCUAUUCUGACUUUUUAAAUAAUACUGAUUUUCUUAAUACCACUGUCCUUUUUCUUGCUUUCUCAGUAGGCUAUUAAUAGUUAAAUUUUGGAGGAGUUAAAAGUUAUGCAUAGAUUUUUCAACUGCAUAGAGGUCGGCACCCCUAACCCCUGCGUUAUUCAAAGAUCAACUCUAUAACAUUCUUCCCACCACAACUUCUAUAUGCUAAUGUGGGAAACAGUAUGCAAAGAGAUUAAAACUUCUACCUUUGACAAGUGGCCUGCCCCAAACUUCUCUGUUAUCUUUGAUUCAUUCUUUUUUUUUUUUUUUUACCAAGAAAGGGGAGUAAUUGUCUUCCCCAUCUCCACAUGUAAUACAAAAACAAUUUUAGAAAUCUAUUUAUCUUAUUGAUCACUUGUGUGUGUGUAUCAUGAUUUACUUAGGCAAGAAAGAGCUAAAGUCAAUCUCCCAACCAAUUAUUAAUUGAAGUUUUAGUAUCUACUGAUUACUGGCAACUAGGCCCAAGGAGGGUUGCUUAUCUCACUUCUCCCUCACAAUAGCUUUAGGAAAAAGGUGCAGUUGUCCUCACUUUACAGAUGAGUAAACAAGAUGAAUAGUUAGGGAACUUGCAAAGUUUAAAAAAAAAAAAGUGAAAUCCAAGCUUCAAACCCAGGUGUCUGAUUUGACAAACCACUUUGUCUUCACCACAUCUUAACAGUUGUUAUUUCACUUCAUUUUUGGGGGGGCUGUAAACUUUGAGUGAAUGAUGAGUUUGUACCAGCUGCAAUUUAGUGUUUAAUGGUACAAGUGAAACUAUAUCCUUCCCUCAUACCCUUCGGUCUCAUUCCCAUCUAAGGGUGGGAUCUGUAAUCAUGUUCUCCAACAGCCAGCUUCUAGCUUCUGUGGUUUUUCUCUGCCUUUGACAACCAUUUAUUCCUCUUCGUUUAAGAUUCUGUCUCAUCUAUCUUUGAUCUAGGCACCUUUUCUUUCUUCUCCAGAGUGUUUCUUCCCAGCAGUCCCCUAGUUUUAUUAUUCGAGAUUUCAGACCUUCCUUUCUCUUUUAGCUUUAAGCUUUGGGCUUCUCUCUCUCUCUCUAUCUGUGGUGGUCAUAUGGCAUGCUGUUUCUUUCAUUUAGUUUUCUUUUUCGUGUUCAACCAUAUAUUCUUUUUUGUUCCCCAUUAUUCUAGAUUGCAUCAUACCACCUUAAUCCUUACUAACCUGCUGGAAAGAUUUUCUGUCUCUAGUAUUUCUGAUACCAGCCUGUUAACCAUGGGGAAGAAGGGAACAAUUGACAUCUUCAUCAUUAAUUUUAUUGAUCACAUAGAUAUUUUUCCAGAAUUUUGCAUGCUUUUUUAUUUACUCAAGUGUGUGAGUAUUCUUUCUGUGGCCUAAAAUGAAUUGGCAAGUUUUGAUAAAAUUGCCAUUGGGCCUCAAACUUAGCAGUGAAGUGAAUUUAUAGCAAGAGAUAGGAUAAUAUACUCACACCUGAAACCACAAGGACCUAGUCAGCCACGAAAAGUAACAUUUCAUGAAAGUAGAAAACAGGCUAGUUUCUAGACAUUUCAAAUCAGUGGAUUUCUUUUGUUCUAAGGCAUUUUCAUAAUAACUACUAAAUUUAAUUUAAAAAAAUCAAACUCUUCUCUCUCAGGUUUACAAUCCAGUACAAGGGCAGAUAUAAAUUCUGUCAUUGGAAUGAUUUACCUGUCACUAUUGUAUAAUUUAUAAAUAACAUAGAGAACAAUGUAAUUUUUUAAUACCAUGAGUCAUACGCUUUAUGUUGCAAUAAUUUUAGUUUAGUCUCUCUUUGCUCUUUAGCAAAAUAAAAGUAAAAGAAUUUCCAAAACAGAGGAAUCGUGACAGGGAGAACGAGAAAUGCAAUGCAUCAAAGCAACACAAGAUGUCACUUUUACACAGGCCUGCAUUUGCAGGUAAGGCUACAUCUGCAUUGUGCAUAAAAGAGUAUGUGAGGGGAAAAGCAUCAAGAUUUACAAAUGCUUCAGAAAUAUGAAAAGGAGCAAGCAACCUUGGUUUUGUUUUCAAUAUUUGUAAUAAUAUCUUGAAAUGUAUCAUGAAACUGGAAUUAUUCUCCUAUAUCUAUAUAAGUUCACAGAAUACGUUGCUUUAACAAUACAUUGCAUCCGCCCCAAUCCCCAACUUUCUGGAUAGCACAGACUCAGAAAACAAGCUUAUUCUCACUGCAAAGCAUAUUCUUUCUCUCGGCUUCCUUACUUCUGCUGCAUUAGUUGCCUUCCAACAUCUUAUUGGAGGUCUAAUCUGUUAAAAAUAGGUCUCUGACUAUUUUUCUUUUUCUGGUCCUGCCCAAUUAACCCAUUUUGCACACUGCUCCCAGGUGGACCCUCUUGGGGGCAAUUCUGAUCCCAAUAUUCAUCUGUUCUCCAAGAUCAGGUUUAGCAAGAAGUAUUAGUUUCCUACUGCUGCUACGAUAAAUAACCACAAACUGAGUGACUUAAAGAAUACAAAUGUAUUUUCUGUAGCUCAAAAGCCUGACUUGGAUCUCACUGAGCUAAGACCAAAAUGUUAGUAGGGUUGGAUUAUCUUCAGGAGCUCUGGCAGGAACCCGUUACCUUGCCUUUUUCAGUUUUUAGUGGCCACCUGCUUGCCUUGGUUCGUAGCCCCUUCCUCUGUGUUCAAAGCCAACACUAUCAGGCCAACUCCUGUCCUGUUGCUAUCUCUCUGGUUUUUCAUAGUCACAUCUUUCUCUAACCCUUUUAAAGACCCUUGUGAUUACGUUGAGCCCACUGAAGUAAUCCAAAAUCGUCUCCCUAUCUUAAUGUCUUCAGGUCAGCUGAUUAGCAACUGUAAUUCCAUCUGCAACCCUAAUUCCCUUUGCCUUGUAGCCUAUCAUACUUACAUCUUUAGGGAAGUCAUUAUUCUGCCUACUACACAAGGUAUCCAAAGGGCUUCAAGAUCUGGCCUAGUUUUACUUUCCAUCCUUGAGCCCCUUCCAGGGUCUAUUCUCAUUUCUUUUGUGUCAAGUGUUACGGCCAAACUAAAUUUCCCAUGAAGUGGCCAGUGUUCAUUCUUUAAUCCCUAAAUUUUGUUCAUGCAGUUCUCACUUCCUAUGUUAUUUUCCAACUUCUUUGAAAACAUAUCUUCAUUCUUCAAGUUUCCUCCCCUGUGAAUCUUUUAAACACUCUCUUAGGCAGAACUGAUUACUCCUUCAUGUGUGCUUUCAUUGACUAUAUCUUCUACAGAAUUAUUGUGUUAAGCCAUUUGUAAUUUUUUUCUUUCCUUUUUUCUUUUUUUUCCCUGAGGCCCCAGGAUACACUUUUCCCUAACCCUUCCAGGUGCAAAAUUGUGAAAGGUGGUAGAUAUAUUUUGUUAGAUGUUUGAAAAGUAUGUUAUAAAGUAAGAGAAGCUGCCAUUACAGACUCCUUUCUCCAAAUACCAGUGGUUUACCAUAAUAGAAGGUUAUCUUUUGAUCAUUUAUAAUACAAGGCUGGUGUUUCUGGUCUACUGGUAACCUCAUCCAUAUUGAUUCAAGGACCCUGGUGCCUACCACCUCCUGGCUCUGUUAUACUACCAGGCCCUUCUAAUUCAAAUCCAGACAGUAGAAGGAAAAAGAGAAUGUUCAAGAGACUCAUUUGAUUUUUAAAAAGUAGCUUGGAGGCUACUUCAUUUUUAUUUACAUUCCCUUGGAGAAAACUCUGUUACAUAGUUCCCGCAGUGCCCCCCAAAAACAGCAAGGGAGCCUGGGAAAUGUAGUCUAACCAGGUAUCCAGCAAAAUCCUAUUACCACAGGGAAGAAGGUAACGGGUUUUAGUAGAAAACUGUGAUACGUGCUACAGAGUGAAGAGUCUGGUUCCUCCAUGACUCCCCUGAGGGAAGUCAUGCUUCCCUCCUGCCAACUCUUAUUUGAACAUGUAUCUCUUAUGUAAACUAUAAUAUUCCACCUUGUAUCCUGUUUCUUUGUAAUAUAUGUCUGACUUAUUCCAAAGUACAUAAAUCAGAUCAAUGUAGUAGAGGAAUUGUAAAAGUAUGCGUAAAUCCUACAUUUUACAUAAACUUUCCUAUAUUUAUUAAGUAUCAUUCUGCUAGAUUGAAUUGUUCCUUAUGACAAAUAUGACCUGGAUAAAUAAGGAAGAUAUAAUUCUUUUUUUCUGCAGGGGGGACGUUGUUGGUGGGGGGAACGGAGUCUUGCUCUAUCGCCCAGGCUGGAGUGCAGUGGCCUGAUCUCGGCUCACUGCAAGCUCUGCCUCUCGGGUUCACACCAUUCUCCUGCCUCAGCCUCUGAGAAUCUGGGACUACAGAUGCCCGCCACCACGCCCAGCUAAUUUUUUGUAUUUUUAGUAGAGACGGGGUUUCACAGUGUUAGCCAGAAUGGUCUCCAUCUCCUGACCUCGUGGCCCGCCCGCCUCGGCCUCCCAAAGUGCUGGGAUUACAGGCAUGAGCCACCACACCCGGCCCAGGAAGAUAUAAUUCUAAAAUCUUUAGAAAUAAUUUUAAAUGUUGAGAGAAAAGGUAGGCAUUGUUCUGUGGCAACGGUAAGAAUGAUGGAAAGCAAGAUGAUAAGAAAAGGAUACAGGACUUGACAGAAGGUGAGGCUUUUGUCAAGAAUGUUAGUUAAGAGCAUGGGGUUUAAAAUUAAAUGGAUUAGUUCUGCAUUUUUAUGGCUAUGUCACUUGAGCAAAUUAAAGUCUCUGAGCCUCAAUUUCAGUAUCUGUCAAAUGGAGGUAACUGUUCACAAUUUUUACAAGGUUUAUAUUAGGUAAGUUUGUAAGACAGUUAGAAUUUCUAAUUCAUAAAUACUCUAAAAUGCUAGGUUUUAUUUUUCUUAAACAUUGUUGAAUAAGGAAAUCUAUAUUAACCUUAGAUUUUUUAAAGCACGCAUAUAAAGAACAAAGACAAAUAGAAGUUUUGAGUUACAAAUAAAUUCAGGAAAGCUGAAAUUCAAAGACCUGAUGUUUAUAAGGACACAAGGACAAACGAAAGAUCUUUCAAGGUUUUUACAUUUACAAGAAGAAAACAAAAAAGUGCUUGAGGUUAACAAGCUACGUUUUUUUAUCCCUUCAAAAGCAUAGCAUCUCAAGAGUGGAACAAACACUUGACAGAAGUGGUUGAGGCACCAUGCAGGUAAAGUGGUUGGGGAGAAACAUUCUGCCCUGAAUAAAUGGCUUUGUGGCCAGGCUUUGGUUGUCUAAGUUCCAAAGUGAGAAAACUUACCAAUGAGAUUGAAAACUUGAUAUUGAAUUAAUCAAAGAGAAUAAAGGACCAACAGGAGAGGCACAAGAAAGUUGAGAAGAAAAAGGUAGCUCUCAUUUUCGAAAGAAGAAUAUUGAUAACUAUAGACUGGAACAUAACCUUUAGCAUUCAAAAGAUUCACAACAGGUUACCCUAGCUCCUCAAUGGGACAUCAGUCUUAGAAAUGCUGUUGCAUUAAAUAUAUACAUCAAUUUUUAGAAGCAAUCUGGUUUCAGAAAUAAGACAGUGUGUGCAGGCAAGAGAAAUGUCUUAGGCUAAACACACAUGAGUUGACUAGAACAAGAUUGGAAACUAUGAAUAAACAUGAUCAUUAUGCUGAAGUCCAGGUGUGUUCAUUCAAGCCUUUAAUUAUAUCCUUUUGGACUAGGUUUUAGAAACAGGGUGGGUGAAAUGUGUUUUUGUAAAUUUAGUGGGUUGUUAUCUUACUUGAGCUAAGUGACAAGUGUGUGUGUUACUCAAGAAUUGUGUUCUUAAAGCAUUAGAACUUUGACCCAAGUCUUACCAUAAAUUUUAGCAAUGGCUAGAAUGAUCAGAAGAGACUAUUUUCAAAUUACAGAUAAAUAAAAUCAUAAUGAUUAGGCAUAUGGAUUUUGAAAUUGUUACACUUGGAAGAGAGUUCUGGCUUCGCCAUUUAUCAGAUGUGUAGCUUUAGUCAAGUGAUUUAAACUAUUCUAAACCUCAACUUCCUCAUCUAUAAAACUAUAAUUUGGAAAAGGCCAUCUACCCAUUGUAUGGAUGACGUGGGAUAACUAACAUAAAUGCACCUAGCAAAUAGUAUAUGCCCAUCAGGAUGGAGAUAGUUACAAUGCUGGUGUUCCAAAUAAAAUUGCCUCUCACAACCAGAGAGCAUUUCAGUAAAGUUAAAUAGCUUACAGAAAUGGGUAAAUCAAAUCAAACAAGAUUAAAAUGAAUCGCAAUAUGCCAUUUGAGCAAAAGGGUAAGAGAACAAGUUAUGUUUUUAUACAGGAAUAGAAUAAAAAAGGCAGAUAAUUAGAGGCAGAUAUGUAAGUGUUUGAACCAUUUAAGUAACUAUGUUCAAUAUGAAUCUAUUAAAAAACAUAAAUCAAUGAAAACAUGUAACAAAAUACCUAGCAUUUUCUUUGACUACAUCUGUGAAAAUAUGGAAAGUAAUAUAAAGCAGAGACCAGCUUCACUGUGCUCUGUACUGUCUAACAACACUGAAAAUCUUACAUUAUGAAUGGAAGGCAGACAAAUGGAAAAAUAUUCAAAGGAGAGUAAUCAAAGCGUGGGGAAGCAUGCCAUCUGAAUAAUGGCUGGAAGAGAAGUGGUAGUUGUUUCCAGUUUGGGGCUAUUAUGAUAAAACAGCUGCUGUGACAUUUUAUAUAAAUCAUUUUCAUAGACAUAUGUUUCCAUUUAUCUAAGGUAAAUAUCUAGAAGUAGAAUUGUCCUAUGGUAGGUGUACAUUUAACUUCAUUAGAAAAUGCCAAUUUUCCAGAGUGGUUGUACUAUUUUACACUACUUUUUAAUUGUUUAUAUAUUUAUUUCAAUCUCAUUCCUUGAUGGAAUUAUGUCAACCUUUCCAGAUUUCUGUCUUAGAAAAAAAUUGGAAGACUUAACCACUCUGCACUCAUAUGCAGUGACCAAAAACAAGCAGAAUUGAAUAUCCAUUACCCUUUUAGAUGGUACAGGAACAGUGCAAUUUCCCUCACACUUCACUCAUCACUCCUGACUCACUCACUCAUUUGGUACCAACUGAUACGUAUUAGCAUGAGUUUGCAUACCUUCAUGUAAUGGGAGACUGAAACAGCCACAGCCAUUUAACUUACUGACAGUAGGCCAUUGUUGAUGCUUGCAUUUGAGUAAGAACAUAAACUUCAAGGUGUGUGUUUGUAUUUAUACUUUGUCAUUGUUGUUGCUUUUUGUAAGUGCCAUCUUGGAGAUAUUUGUGUUUUUCCUUUUGACUGCCUCCUCCUUCAGUUGCACCCAGAGGGUCGGAACAGAAGCAGCAGCAGGAAUGUUGCUAGGCAAAAAGGUUCUGAUGACAAUGAUGGAGAUUGCAAAUUAUGAUUAGUGCAAACCCAGGAUGUGUCAUCAGCUUAGGAUUCUGUUAUUUACUUAAUUUGAGCCUAAUGAUAUGAAACAUCGUUGUAAUGUUGAAGUUUUCUUAUCCUUUUCAAGGUGCUUCAAUUCCCUGAGGAAAGAGGCAAGCAGAUGGAAUAUUUCAGGCUGCAGACAUAGAAGAAUGAGAUAGAAAUAUGCUCUCUGUCCUUGAUGUGAAGAUUCUGUCACUUUUAAUUCUCCAGCUUAUUUACUUUUCUACUACAUAAGAACUGGGGCUUGUUUUAGCAGCAUUGAUUAAGUUGUCAUUGAUUUUCAAGAUAGGAAAUAGAACUUUCAAAUUUCCCACAUGAAUUUUAAAUAAGUCAGAUAUUAACAACAAGAUAAAACAUUUACCAUGGCAAUGACAGAAUAGUCAAGUAUCAUUCAAAACCUUUCAAGGCUCACAAAGAGCAUAUGGAUUCUAGAUGUCAAUACAUACAUGACUAGAACUUACCUGGAGACACACAGCCAGCAAGAUGAGCAUCUGGAGCAGAGAGCAAUUUUACUUUAACGGAAGAUAGCGGUGAGGGCUUGAACACUAAGGAAUUAAUGAGAGAUCAGCCCCUUUAGCGACUCAAAGCAUAUUAUAACUCCAGCUGGUCAAAAAGAGAGGAAAUAAAUAAUAUAACAGGAACAACUGCAAGAGCAAGUGCAGCAUCAUGUUGGUGCAUUUCUUUUGAUCAAAAGGUCAAAUUGCAACUGGUCUUUGAAGAGUGUGCUGGUGACAGUGUGCAACCUUUGCAGUAGCUCCUGGACUGGCCCUAGACUGCUGUCAAAUUAAACCAGCGCUGUAAAGAAGAGAGCAAGUACCCUAAAGUUGAAUGAAGGGGCAUCUUAAUUCGAAUCCUGGCUCUAAUGCUGACUGUAAGCAUGACCCCAGAUGAGUUAUUCACUCUCUCAGUCUCAGUCUCCUCAUCCACAAAGCAGGGAUCACAAUAAAUGAAUAGCACCUUUCACAGAACCCACCAUAUAUACUGAGUGUCCAGCAAAUACUGUGUUCAUCAUCUAACAUCAUAACACAUUGAGCAUCCAUCAGAGCAGAAAUAGUUCGCACCUGGAUAUUUCUGUUUCUUUUUUUUGCUAUCCUACUGGUGUUUUACUUAAGUUUAGUAUGGUAACAUGAAAGAAAAUUACUGCUCUUCUGCUAUUUAGUUAGCAUUUUUAUGCUUUUAAAAAAUAUUGCAAUAAAAUUAAUAAAAUUUGA